AAUGAACGUUGGCGGCAUGGAUUAGGCAUGCAAGUCGAGCGAGAAGUGUAGCAAUACACGGAAAGCGGCGGAAGGGAGAGUAAUACGUGGGAAUCUGCCCUUAGACCUGGGAUAGCAGCGGGAAACUGCUGGUAAUACCAGAUAAUGUCUAUGGACCAAAGGUGUGAUUCCGUCUAGGGAUGAGCCCACGUCCUAUUAGCUAGUUGGUAGGGUAAUGGCCUACCAAGGCGAUGAUGGGUAGCGGGUGUGAGAGCAUGACCCGCCUCACUGGGACUGAGACACUGCCCAGACACCUACGGGGGGCUGCAGUCGAGAAUCUUCGGCAAUGGGCGCAAGCCUGACCGAGCGAUGCCGCGUGCGGGAUGAAGGCCUUCGGGUUGUAAGCCGCUGUCGAGGGGGAGCAACUUCCAUAGAGUUAUCUUUAUGGAUUGAGUGAUCCCUGGAGGAAGGACGGGCUAAGUUCGUGCCAGCAGCCGCGGUAACAC
rnacentral:rRNA from 1 species